AUUGAACGCUGGCGGCAGGCCUAACACAUGCAAGUCGAGCGGAUGAAGGGAGCUUGCUCCUGGAUUCAGCGGCGGACGGGUGAGUAAUGCCUAGGAAUCUGCCUGGUAGUGGGGGACAACGUCCGGAAACGGGCGCUAAUACCGCAUACGUCCUGAGGGAGAAAGUGGGGGAUCUUCGGACCUCACGCUAUCAGAUGAGCCUAGGUCGGAUUAGCUAGUUGGUGGGGUAAAGGCCUACCAAGGCGACGAUCCGUAACUGGUCUGAGAGGAUGAUCAGUCACACUGGAACUGAGACACGGUCCAGACUCCUACGGGAGGCAGCAGUGGGGAAUAUUGGACAAUGGGCGAAAGCCUGAUCCAGCCAUGCCGCGUGUGUGAAGAAGGUCUGCGGAUUGUAAAGCACUUUAAGUUGGGAGGAAGGGCAGUAAGUUAAUACCUUGCUGUUUUACGUUACCAACAGAAUAAGCACCGGCUAACUUCGUG
rnacentral:rRNA from 1 species